CCCUUAGAUGUUCUGGGCCGCACGCGCGCUACACUGACGAAUGCAACGAGCUUAUAACCUUGGCCGAAAGGUCUGGGUAAUCUCCAAAUUUCGUCGUGAUGGGGAUAGAUUAUUGCAAUUAUUAAUCUUCAACGAGGAAUGCCUAGUAAGCGCAAGUCAUCAGCUUGCGUUGAUUACGUCCCUGCCCUUUGUACACACCGCCCGUCGCUCCUACCGAUUGAAUGGUCCGGUGAAGCGUUCGGACCGUGGCCUUUGGACGGUUCCCCGUCUGUUGGCUGCGGGAAGUUCGUUAAACCUUAUCAUUUAGAGGAAGGAGAAGUCGUAACA
rnacentral:rRNA from 1 species